CAGUAGCCGCGGGAAAACGAGGUGGGCAAGCGUUGUUCGGAAUUAUUGGGCGUAAAGGGUGCGUAGGCGGUUUGAUAAGUCUUGUGUGAAAUCUAUGGGCUCAACCCAUAGUCUGCACAGGAAACUGUCGGGCUUGAGAGUGGGAGAGGUGAGUGGAAUUUCCGGUGUAGCGGUGAAAUGCGUAGAUAUCGGAAGGAACACCUGUGGCGAAAGCGGCUCACUGGACCAUUUCUGACGCUGAUGCACGAAAGCUAGGGGAGCAAACAGGAUUAGAUACCCCAGUAGUCCCUGUCUCUUAUAC
rnacentral:rRNA from 1 species